rnacentral:rRNA from 1 species
GAUGAACGCUGGCGGUAUGCUUAACACAUGCAAGUCGAACGGACUCUUCGGAGUUAGUGGCGGACGGGUGAGUAACGCGUGAGAAUCUGGCUUUGGGUUCGGGACAACCACUGGAAACGGUGGCUAAUACCGGAUGUGCCGAGAGGUAAAAGAGAAAUUGCCUGAAGAUGAGCUCGCGUCUGAUUAGCUAGUUGGUGAGGUAAAGGCUCACCAAGGCAGCGAUCAGUAGCUGGUCUGAGAGGAUGACCAGCCACACUGGGACUGAGACACGGCCCAGACUGCUGCGAGAGGGAGCAGUGGGGAAUGAGCCAAAAGGGGCGAAGGAGUGACAAAGCAAUACCGUAGGAGAGAAGAAGGCUCUUGGGUUGUAAACCUCUUUUCUUACGGAAGAACAAAAUGACGGUACCUAAGGAAUCAGCAUCGGCUAACUACGUG